UACGUAGGGUGCAGCGUUGCCCGGAUUUAUUGGGCGUAAAGGGCGCGUAGGCGGUCACGCACGUCCGUUGUGAAAUCGCUCGGCUCAACUGGGCGGGGUCAGCGGAUACGGCGUGGCUGGAGCAAGCUAGGGGGCAAUGGAAUUCCCGGUGUAGUGGUGGAAUGCGUAGAUAUCGGGAGGAACACCAGUGGCGAAGGCGGUUGCCUGGAGCUUUGCUGACGCUGAUGCGCGAAAGCGUGGGGAGCGAUCCGG
rnacentral:rRNA from 1 species